CACGUAGUUAGCCGGAGCUUUUUCUUCAGGUACCGUCAUUAUCGUCCCUGAUAAAAGGAGUUUACAAUCCGAAAACCUUCUUCCUCCACGCGGCAUCGCUGCAUCAGGGUUUCCCCCAUUGUGCAAUAUUCCCCACUGCUGCCUCCCGUAGGAGUCUGGGCCGUGUCUCAGUCCCAAUGUGGCCGUUCAACCUCUCAGUCCGGCUACUGAUCGUCGACUUGGUGAGCCGUUACCUCACCAACUAUCUAAUCAGACGCGAGCCCAUCUCUGAGCGAAUUUCUUUGAUAACAAAAUCAUGCGAUUUCACUAUGUUAUGAGGUAUUACCAUCCGUUUCCAGAAGCUAUCCCUCUCUCAGAGGCAGGUUGCUCACGUGUUACUCACCCGUCCGCCACUAACUUGAGGAAGCAAGCUUCCUCUCGUCCGUUCGACUUGCAUGUGUUAGGCGUGCCGCCAGCGUUCGUCCUGAGCCAGGAUCAAACUCU
rnacentral:rRNA from 1 species